CCAGAGAACUUGGCAGAGAUGCCUUGGUGCCUUCGGGACCUCUGAGACAGGUGCUGCAUGGCUGUCGUCAGCUCGUGUUGUGAAAUGUUGGGUUAAGUCCCGNAACGAGCGCAACCCUAUCCUUUGUUGCCAGCGAUUCGGUCGGGAACUCAAAGGAGACUGCCGGUGAUAAACCGGAGGAAGGUGGGGAUGACGUCAAGUCAUCAUGGCCCUUACGAGUAGGGCUACACACGUGCUACAAUGGCGCAUACAAAGAGAAGCGACCUCGCGAGAGCAAGCGGACCUCAUAAAGUGCGUCGUAGUCCGGAUCGGAGUCUGCAACUCGACUCCGUGAAGUCGGAAUCGCUAGUAAUCGUAGAUCAGAAUGCUACGGUGAAUACGUUCCCGGGCCUUGUACACACCGCCCGUCACACCAUGGGAGUGGGUUGCAAAAGAAGUAGAUAGCUUAACCUUCGGGAGGGCGUUUACCACUUUGUGAUUCAUGACUGGGGUGAAGUCGUAACAAGGUAAGCGUAGCGAG
rnacentral:rRNA from 1 species